rnacentral:rRNA from 1 species
AACGAACGCUGGUGGUAGGCCUAACACAUGCAAGUCGAACGAGAAUUUGGUGCUUGCACCAAAGGACAGUGGCGCACGGGUGAGUAACGCGUGGGAAUUUACCUUAGAGUGGGGGAUAACAGUUGGAAACGACUGCUAAUACCGCAUACGCCCUUCGGGGAAAGAUUUAUUGCUCUAAGAUAAGCCCGCGUUAGAUUAGUUAGUUGGUGAGGUAAUGGCUCACCAAGGCGACGAUCUAUAGCUGGUUUGAGAGGAUGAUCAGCCACACUGGGACUGAGACACGGCCCAG